rnacentral:tRNA from 3 species
GCGCCCGUAGCUCAGCUGGAUAGAGCGCCGGACUUCGAAUCCGUAGGUCGCAGGUUCGAAUCCUGCCGGGCGUG